GAUGAAGAACGCAGCGAAAUGCGAUAAGUAAUGUGAAUUGCAGAAUUCAGUGAAUCAUCGAAUCUUUGAACGCACAUUGCGCCCGCUAGUAUUCUGGCGGGCAUGCCUGUUCGAGCGUCAUUUCAACCAUCAAGCCCUGCUUGUGUUGGGGUCCUGCGGCUGCCCGCAGGCCCUGAAAACCAGUGGCGGGCUCGCUAGUCACACCGAGCGCAGUAGCACAUCUCGCUCAGGGCGUGCGGCGGGUUCUUGCCGUAAAACACCCCCUAUUUACCAAGGUUGACCUCGGAUCAGGUAGGAAUACCCGCUGAACUUAAGCAUAUCGAUAAGCGGAGGA
rnacentral:misc_RNA from 1 species